GAAAAGGCCAUGUGCACACAGUUUAGGUCAUUAGAAGAGUGUGGCUCCUUCAUAUGCUUGAUGUGGCUAAAGGGCACUACGUGCCAGAGCUGUGUGCCCAUGAAGUGAAGGUUUGUCAAUUGUUAAAUUUAAUUAACAGCAGUUUUGAAAAAGAAGAAAAAAAGAAGUGGAAGGAUGAAAUGCUGGAUGAAAGAGGACAAAGGCUGGGAACCGUGACUGCAAAGCUAGAAUCAGCUGUCAGAUGGAAGAGGAAAGGAUGGCCAUAAGUGCCUUUGGAAGCUGGGACAGGGGGCUACAGGGGUACAAGACCUUCUUGGAGCAAAGACAAUUUGUGCAAACCCAGAGCCUGCAGUGGCACCCAUAGUUGAUGUGGUUGUUACAGGUCUGAUUUUGUUAUGGAGGUUGCCUAGCCUUUGAGAUUGUCUUCAUUUCUGUAUGCAGAAGAAAGAAAUAUUGCACGUGUGUGUGACAAGCUAAUAGUUAUUUGGUUUGGGGUUGUGGCUGGAUCUUAGGCUCAAAUUCUUGUUGUGAUUCGGUCUCUACAUUACUCUAUGGCCUUGAAGCAGGCCUUAUCCAUUCCACCUCAGUAUCCCACCAGUAGAGCUGAUGCUAAUUUCAUGAAUCAGUAAAUGUUUGGAAAAGUCUGACUCUCCUUAAGCAUUAAAUAUCAAUCUCAAGGUGACUGCCUCAGCCCUUAGUUUGGAAUAUGUUAGAAGCUGGAGUAGACUACAAAUAUCUGUUUCACCGUGGAGGCCCAUGGUGUAUUUGGAGGGCUGUAGGUAUGAAGAGCAGGCCUUUCUGCUGGGAAAGAUGCAGCUACCUCCUGCAUCCCAGGAAGGAACUGCAAGACAGUCUUACCAAACUGAGGGCAUGCCUACUUGAACUACAGUGGGUCUCCCCACAUGCUGUGAAUCUCUAACCUGUGGCUCAUCCAAGAUCCCCUCUGGCAGCCAGUUCCAUGCCACUCUGUGCCGAGGCUGAAAAAGGAGAGCUCUUUGUCCUCUGUGUUCUCAAAUGGGUGCUGCCCACCAAAUCUCAACACCUCCAAAGCUCACUUGUGUAUGGAGCCGUCCCUAAGCCUGAGCUACACACCCAGCUGCUUCCUCUAGCCUGCAAUAAUGAAUUUUCAUUGCCGUGGAAUUUAGAUAGGAAUUGCUCUGAUUCUAAAGCUCAUUGGUCACUAAUAAUAAUAACAAUGAAAAGAGCCAUUUCUUAAGGACUAAAAACUAAUCAGCGAAUGUGUAGUUUCUGUGUCUCCUGCAGGUUCUUGUCUUGUGGGGCUGCCAGACUGCCUGUGUCACAUGUCUGCCUGUCUGAUUUCCAACUCAAGCUUUUCAUUUCCUAAAUGAUAACGGAUAAAAGAUGAAAUCUGGCACACACAGGUAAUCUUUGCCAUCUUAAUAUUUGUUAAGCUUUUUGAUUUACUGAGAAGUUAAAGUCACUGCAGGUCACAAAACCUGCACAUUAGAUCUGCUUCAUAAAACACUGUGAGUGAAUGCUUUAGUCAUUCAUUUCACAGUCUUUAAACCAAUGUAGCUGAAGAAUUGCACCUCCGAUUUAUAAAUCUCUCGAUUUAUUUCUGAUUCCAGUUUAUAGGAUGGGAGUAUAUCCAGCUUUCCCCAGCCAUUUGUGCAUAGCUAGAGAAGAAACCUAACAUAUUUCUUGCAUAAUGGAGACUUGAUCCAGCUUACAUUUGUUAAAUCACCCAAAGGGAAAUGUUCUCACUAAGAAACUUUUGCGCACUGUUAAUGUAUCAAAUCUGACCCGUGUUUCAGAUUUCUGCUGUUCUUCUGCAUCUAAUCUUUCUCCCUCCCUACUCCAAUGCACACACUCAUCCCUCCCUUCUGUGGAAGAGAAAUAUGACUGUCAUAGUCUCCCUCUCUCUGUUUUGCACAUCUGCUUCCCACCCUUUUUCUGAAGGAGAUCUAUAACCCACAGAGGAAUCAGAGAUGAUCUGAACCAUUUUGGAUACCUACUGCUAUGGGAUGUGUGGAGGCCCAUGGGCAGCUCAGGUUUCACAUCUGCCAGCUUUUCAGAGGAUGUGAUCAAGGGCAGAAAUAAGCAGAUGAUGAUGAUGACGAUGCUACGGAAACUGGUGUAAAGGAAAUGGGAUCCCUCCUCCCGGAAACGUGUGUGCCCCCUAGCACGUGUCAAGAUCAUUUGGAUGUGGUAGGAAGGCUAACACAAAGGAAAGUGUAUUUUAAAUAAUGCAUUAUUUAAAAAGGAAGCCUCUGUCUUUAAAAUACAGUGUGCGAGUUACUAUCGACUUUAGGUUUGGGCAUGGUCUUUGACCCUGGAGCGCUGGCAGAGUCAAAAAGAGUGAAAUGAGUCAAAGAGUCUGUCAGACAAGGUGAGAUACUGAGCUUGCCUCUGAUCUCACACCAUGUGGUGGUGUAACCCCAUUGCCCUCUGCAGAUUCAUGCAAACAUAUGGAGAGAAAAACCUACCCCAGAAUCAUUCAGUACCAAAACAUACCCUUCUUUUUCUAUGGCAAUGUAAAAGCUUUACAAGAGGAACACAUAAGGUGCCAAAGGGCAAAAUUUUGGCUUGGAUUAAUACUGCUUCCAGCCACCCCAAUGCAGAAACUUCUCUCCAAUUAACUGACCUUGAUGGAUAAAUUCCUCCUUUUUAUCUUCCUCCAACCUUUCCCAUAUUCCAUCUCUUUUUCUCCUUGAUCCUCCUGAUAAAGUCAGGCUGUCCUUCCAACUGUGAUCAGCAGAGCCUUUAGCCGGUGCGUAGCUUACUCUCCAAGGACUCCUGCUGCCAGGGGCUCCUUUCAUUUUCUCUGCAAAUACUUUCUAACAAAUUUAGAAGGCCUUAUUGGGAAAGGAAUGGAAUACAUUUGUGUGUAGUGAUGUAUCUGCUAAACGGUGUGUGCUUUUCUCCAUGCAGUUCUCAAGGGACUUUGAGGCACGUUCUGUGGGCAGAGCACAUGGAAUUGCUCAGAUGUAUUGUUUGCAUAGUGUGAUAUUAUUCUGACUAUCAGAUCCUAAAAGAGAAUUAGGAACACGCACAGUUUUUGGAGACUCCCUGAUCUGAACUGCCCUGCUUAGAGCCUGACUUUGCCCUUGUGUAGUACAAGGCAGGUAAAUGUGUGGCCCUCACAAGGAGGUUCAGAGCUCUACAACCAAGAUUUUAGGCUUCCUCCAUCACCAGUGUGGCCAGGAGAGAGCAAUUCAUCAUAUGGCAUCAGUCAGACUCUUCUGGUAAUUGGUCUUGGGACAAGGCAUUCAGCCCAAAGUCCUUCAUGCAUCUGACUUACCUGGUCAGCCAACUUUCUUUGGAUACUGUGCAAACAACAGCAAGUGGCAGGCUUCAAGUGCAAACUAGACAAACACUGCUGGAGUUGUGAGAGCUCCAACAGCUCACAACUCGGUCCUUCUGUUGUGGGAAGGAGGAUAUUAGUGGAAAACGGCCAGUUGUAGGGAUAUGAGUGGGCAUCUGAGGGUCACUGGCUAUCAGAUAAGGUAGGACCGAUGCGUCAACAAAGGAAUUUUGUCUCUUUGGAUGUGAAGAAGGGAGGCAGAGAGACAAGAACUUCAAGAAAUCUCUUGAUGGAAUAAAGAAGUAUGUGUAUGCUUGCACUAGCACCUAUGCAAAACGUGCCAAUACCAGGUGCUUUACCCUCCUGAAUUGACUGCUGUGCCAUAAAACAACUUUCUGUUUUCUUUUGUCCCUCCAAUAUUCAACAAAGAGACGUUUGUUUGAACCUCCCCAUUCACCUCUGAGCCGUCCAGCUAGGAAAAAAACCCCCGAGAGAUGUGACUGCACAAGCACACAAGGACAAGAAAGCAGGAAAUGUACCAGCUGCUGGGGAAAAAAGAGGAGAAUGAUUGCAGUCCAGGAAGGGCUCUCACUAUUUCUUUUCCACUUGUUUAUUAGUUCAUUGCUCUUUGACAUCUUUCCCCCAGUCACUGCUUCCACUAGAUGUUCUACCGGUUUAACAGCAAGCAAUUACCCUUCCCCUGGCUUUGAAGCUAUUGUUCCUCAGACACUCCAGUCUCUGGGUUCACAACAACUUUGUAUUUUUUAUUAGUCUUAGGUCUCCUGAUUUUUUUGGUAAGUUUUUCUGUUCUUCACAUUUCAGAUAACAGAGGCCAAAUUUGCAUGACCCUGGCCUCAGUUUCUAACAAAGUACUCUACCCUGUCUUCACCGAAUCAUGAGGGUCGGAAGGGACCUCUGAAGAUCAUCUAGUCCAGCCCCUAGUCUUGAGAAUGUUCAAUUCAGCCUUGACAUUUGGCUACUGAAAUUUGGCCCCACUUUUGCAGAAAGGUUUGUAAAUACGAACCCUG